rnacentral:tRNA from 1 species
GCCUGACUGGCUCAAUUGGUAGGGCAUGCAACUCUUGAUCUCACGGUCUUGAGUUCAAGCCCCAUGUUGGGCA